rnacentral:rRNA from 1 species
UACAGAGGUGGCAAGCGUUGUUCGGAAUUACUGGGCGUAAAGGGCGCGUAGGCGGUUCUGUAAGUCCCGCGUGAAAUCCCCCGGCUCAACUGGGGAACUGCGUGGGAAACUGUGGGGCUAGAGUUCAGGAGAGGGAAGCGGAAUUCCGGGUGUAGCGGUGAAAUGCGUAGAUAUCCGGAGGAACACCGGUGGCGAAGGCGGCUUCCUGGACUGACACUGACGCUGAGGCGCGAAAGCUAGGGGAGCAAACGGG